rfam:Schistosoma rodhaini strain Burundi genome assembly, scaffold: SROB_scaffold0001082
AUCCAGCUGACUAGUCCCAAAUAGGACGAAACGUGCAUCCUGGAU